ACUUAUAAACAAAUAUUGCUUAAGUUCCAAAUACUACAUUGCAAAGGAGUCAGGCUCUUGUUGCAUCAGGGGGUAGAAAAGCUUGCAUGUGCCUCAGCUCGCUGCUGAACAAACACCUUAGAGCAGAAUCUUUUUUUUCAUGAGCCAGUCACAUAUAAAAUCCACAUUAAUAGUGACAAUGAAAAGCAGAUGUUCUGAAUUUAUUACACUGCUUUGAAUAGACUCCAUCAAAUAUUAAGCCAAAUUCAGCUGAGGUUACAUGAUCUUGUAUGUCUUGGCCUUAUAUAGCUGUUAUGAAGGAUUCGGUACUUCCACCACUCCUUGUCACUACAUGUAAGCUUUCUGUUUAAUUAUGCCUUUCCCGUUACAGCUUCUAACCUAUGCUAGGUCACAGAAAAAUGUCAGGAGAAGACAAAUCGAAAGAAGCAGUCACAGCUGAGGGUCAAAACACAACAGCCACACUGCUAAGGACGCAAACAAGUCUGUGGAUGCAAAACUUGAUAUGAUUCCAAGGACACAUAUGAGAAAAGCCACUGGAGAUUACUGCUGCUGGGAGUUACAGGCCAACAACAUCAGGGUCAGGAAAUCCCCUGAGGUAAAUAUAUUUGGAGGCCUGUACAACGCUCAGGGAGGGUCAUGCUUACAUGUCCAGAAGCAGGGAAGAGAGGAAGGAGUGGCCCGAGUCUGGCUCAGGGAGGCUCUGUUCAGGCCAGAAGUGGUGUGCAGGGCAUGUUCUGCAGGAGUCACGGAGCCAACAGCCACCAGCUGUCCUGUGUGCUUCAUGGCUGAUGCACCACAGCCCUCGCAGCAGCUCUGUCACUUGGGUCGGUCAAGAUAAUGCACCCAGAAAAUGGCACCAUCUCCCUGGGAGAGGUUUGUAGCUCUAGCUGUAGUGAGGAAAGCCCUGAUGCUCCACACUGUCCAUUUGGAGACUCCCUAAAAUCCCUACUGAGGGAGCUGCAGUUUUGGAAAGUGUUAAGAAGCUACCAGCCAUCUGAAAAUCAGUCUGCUCAAAGGUGUUGUUAUACCGACAAAACCUGUAACCUCCAAAGCCGCUUAUCAGCCAUGCACAAUGGCCUACAAACAGUCUUCAGACUGUCAUAAUUGCAAAUCAUUGUGUUUUCAAAGAGUGAACAAAUAAAGAACCCAGGUUACACUAA